ensembl:misc_RNA 7SK 7SK RNA
GAAUGUGAGGGCAACUUGGUUACAGUAUCAACCACCCCACUGGUCACCAGAGUUGAUCUGCAUGUUAUAGAUAGCUAGACAGUUGUCACUUCCUCCCUCGGUGCUUCAUAUACACCUCACCAAAACCGUAUGUUUUGUAGCAGAGGAAAUCCUUCCUAGAAAAAGGAGGGACACUCUUGGACCAAGAGUUACUGAGCAACUGUCCUCUGCAAAAAUCUCCAGACAAGCUCUCACGAAGCAAUGAUUAAAAAGAGUUAGAAGUGAACAAGAAAAAGAACCCAAACAGAGUUAGGAAGGGGGUCAGCAGAUGCUUGUGAAGGUGUUCGACUAUUCCUU